GUCCAGCAGUCCAGCACCCACGGCCCACCAGUCCACCACGAGUCCACGACACUAGCUAGCCAUCCUGUUCGUCCAAACGUCCACGACCACUAGAAGCCGCCAGCCAGCCUGCCUAUUUGCCUAAACCUAAUCCACUAGCAGUUCGGCACUGCGGCUGCGGGGAUGCGGCGGCCGGCGGCAGCGGCACUACGGAGCCCUCAGCCAGCACCAGGUUGCGGCAACGGCAACAACCAGCAAGUGGCCAGCGAUUCACGGGUUCAGGCGUUCAGCGCCACGCCGUCGUCGCCCCAAGCCAGGUGUAGUUAUUAGUUUAGUACACUGCUCAGUGCUCAGUUAGACAGUUACAUGGAAUGCUCAAUAGACCUCCAGUCAGGAACCACCGAUUGUGAUUUGUGAAGAACUGUGAAUUGAUUAACUGAAGAUGUCAAAUAGUGGAGGCAAGGGAUGUCGUUCCCGUGCUAGAUCAAUGCCACCCGAGAAGCAACUAGGUAUUUCAAGUUUCUUGCCUGAACCUCCACCGCCGCCUCCUUCUACGAAAGGUAGUACCAACGGUCAGCCCUGCAUGGAUGAUGAGGAACAAGAUGCUGAAAGUGAUCCCGACGUCAUGAAUGAUUAUGGUGAGCUUUGACCGUGAGUCAGCGACUAGUCAUGGUGCUUAAUGCUUGACAACAUGUUUGGAACUUUAGAUAAAUAUGUUGCUGUGUCCAUGUGCGGAUGUGCCUGUUUCUGUGUGUUGUGUGUAAUGAACCUUGAACUUUUUUGGAACAUUGGGGCAAGAAAAGGUGCCAGCCGCAUGGAGCACCCUUCUGUGUGGCUGUGUGUAAUGAACCUUGAGCACUAUUCUAUGCGACAACAACUUUGUCAUUGUGUGUUCUUAAA